rnacentral:rRNA from 1 species
ACUCCUACGGGAGGCAGCAGUAGGGAAUCUUCCGCAAUGGACGAAAGUCUGACGGAGCAACGCCGCGUGAGCGAAGAAGGCCUUCGGGUCGUAAAGCUCUGUUGUAAGGGAAGAACAAGUGCCAUUUAACUGAUGGCACCUUGACGGUACCUUGCGAGAAAGCCACGGCUAACUACGUGCCAGCAGCCGCGGUAAU